rnacentral:rRNA from 1 species
GAUGAACGCUGGCGGCGUGCCUAAUACAUGCAAGUCGAGCGAACGGACGAGAAGCUUGCUUUUCUGAUGUUAGCGGCGGACGGGUGAGUAACACGUGGAUAACCUACCCAUAAGACUGGGAUAACUUCGGGAAACCGGAGCUAAUACCGGAUAAUAUUUUGAACCGCAUGGUUCAAAAGUGAAAGACGGUCUUGCUGUCACUUAUAGAUGGAUCCGCGCUGCAUUAGCUAGUUGGUAAGGUAACGGCUUACCAAGGCAACGAUGCAUAGCCGACCUGAGAGGGUGAUCGGCCACACUGGAACUGAGACACGGUCCAGACUCCUACGGGAGGCAGCAGUAGGGAAUCUUCCGCAAUGGGCGAAAGCCUGACGGAGCAACGCCGCGUGAGUGAUGAAGGUCUUCGGAUCGUAAAACUCUGUUAUUAGGGAAGAACAUAUGUGUAAGUAACUGUGCACAUCUUGACGGUACCUAAUCAGAAAGCCACGGCUAACUACGUG